GACGAACGCUGGCGGCGUGCUUAACACAUGCAAGUCGAACGGAAAGGCCCUGCUUUUGUGGGGUGCUCGAGUGGCGAACGGGUGAGUAACACGUGUGUAACCUGCCCUUGACUUUGGGAUAACUUCAGGAAAAUCGGGCUCAUACAGGGUAGGAGAUCCUGCUGCGUGGUGGGGGUUGGAAAGUGUCGGCGGUUGUGGCUGUACUCGCGGCUUAUGAGCUGCUUGGUGGAGUAGGGGAUUACAAGGGGUUCGAAGGGUAGCCGGCAUGGGAGGGGUGACGGGGACAAUGCGACUGAGAUACGGCGCAGAAGCCUACGGGACGCAGCAGGCGGGAGUAUUGCAGAGUGGGGGGAAGCCUGAGGUAGCAACGUCGCGUGCGUGAUGCCGUCUUUCGGGUUGUAAACCGCUUUGGCCGUAGACGAAGAGUGAGUGACGGUAAUGGGUAAAGAAGCACCGGCUAACUACGUG
rnacentral:rRNA from 1 species